GGGAUACUGCUGGACAAGAAAGGUUUAGAGCUGUGACUUCUGCUUAUUAUCGUGGUGCUUUUGGUGCUCUUGUUGUUUAUGAUAUUUCAAGAAGGACAACUUUUGAUAGUAUCCCUCGUUGGCUUGAUGAACUCAAAACUCAUUCGGAUACAACGGUUGCAAGGAUACUGGUGGGAAACAAAUGUGACUUGGAGAAUAUAAGAGCUGUGAGCGUAGAAGAAGGCAAAAGCCUGGCAGAAUCAGAAGGGAUGUUCUUCAUGGAGACAUCUGCCCUCGAUUCAACAAACGUGAACAAGGCUUUCGAGAUUGUGAUUCGAGAGAUCUAUAAUAGUGUUAGCAGAAAGGUUUUGAAUUCCGAUUCUUAUAAAGCCGAAUUAUCUGUCAACAGAGUCAACCUGGUCAACGAUGGUACCGAUGGAUCGAAACAAAAGCAGGGCUACUCUUGUUGUUCUAGGUGAUUAAUGUUAUGUUUCUUGAUUCCCCUUAAGUUUUACAAGAAUGGUUCAUUAAAUUAUUUUUGCUGGUCAUACUGUUUAUUGAUUUGUUAAUGGAUAAAGUACUUUUGUAAUGGUCAGGAACUUAAUAUUUAUAUUCUAU
rnacentral:misc_RNA from 1 species